CGCUGGCGGCGUGCUAACACAUGCAAGCCGAGCGAUGAAGCUCCUUCGGGAGUGGAUUAGCGGCGGACGGGUGAGUAACACGUGGGCAACCUGCCUUGUAGAGAGGAAUAGCCAUUCGAAAGGAUGAUUAAUACCUCAUAAUAUUGUAGCUUCGCAUGAAGCAACAACCAAAGGAGCAAUCCACUACAAGAUGGGCCCGCGGCGCAUUAGCUAGUUGGUGGGGUAACGGCUCACCAAGGCGACGAUGCGUAGCCGACCUGAGAGGGUGAUCGGCCACAUUGGGACUGAGACACGGCCCAGACUCCUACGGGAGGCAGCAGUGGGGAAUAUUGCACAAUGGGGGAAACCCUGAUGCAGCCAACGCCGCGUGAGUGAUGACGGUCUUCGGAUUGUAAAGCUCUGUCUUCAGGGACGAUAAUGACGGUACCUGAGGAGGAAGCCACGGCUAACUACGUGCCAGCCGCUGC
rnacentral:rRNA from 1 species